CAGCCGCCCCGGUAAUACCGGCGGCCCGAGUGGCGGUCACUAUUAUUGGGCUUAAAGCGUCCGUAGCCGGGUUGGGAAGUCCUCCGGGGAAUCUGGCCGCUUAACGGUCAGAAUGCCGGAGGAUACUCCCAGCCUAGGGAGCGGGAGAGGCCGAGGGUAUUCCCGGGGUAGGGGGGAAAUCCUAUAAUCCCGGGAGGACCACCUGUGGCGAAGGCGCUCGGCUGGAACGCGUCCGACGGUGAGGGACGAAGGCCAGGGGAGCAAACCGGAUUAGAUACCCGGGUAGUCCUGGCUGUAAACGAUGCGGACUUUGUGUCGGACAAGCUAUGAGCUUGUCCGGUGCCGGAGGGAAACCGUUAAGUCCGCCGCCUGGGGAGUACGGCCGCAAGGCUGAAACUUAAAGGAAUUGGCGGG
rnacentral:rRNA from 1 species